rfam:Fusarium poae strain 2516 chromosome FPOA_3 Chr3, whole genome shotgun sequence.
GCCCGGUUAGCUCAAUCGGUAGAGCGUGAGACUCUUAAAUGAGUACACAAAUCUCAAGGUUGCGGGUUCGACCCCCGCAUCGGGCU